UGUUCCCAGGAGUAUGGAAAUCAGCAGUCUUUGGAACAACAUCUGCUGUUUUCCUGGCUAUCAUAUGGCUCUCUGUCCUCCUACUGAUAGGGAAAAAGAGAUCCUCCAAGCAAUCAUCUGAGCCUGGAGAUAGACCAGACGACAGGGAACAGGAUGACCUUCAUUAUGCCAGUUUCCACUUCUCCAAUAACCAGACAGAUGCUGUCUACUCCAACAUCAUACCAGCUGUCCCCCGAAGACACAAGGAAGAGGAGGAGGAAGUUGUUGAGUACGCUGCUGUCCAAUUUAACAGUGCCAGUACUGCCCCAAGGACCAGAAGUCAGGAAACUGUGGAGGAUCCAGCUGCAUUGUACAGUACAGUCAACAAAACUGCUGAACGCAACCGGAACGUCUAAUCUGUGCUUUCUGUCAUUUUUAAAUGUGCUAGGCUCUAGGGAUGGCAAAGUUAGUCUGUGGUUGGUUGGGCUGUCAACUGGUCCACCACUUUGGUCCAGAGUCCAGACUGAAAUAGUUCAACAACUAUUUGAUGGACUGUCAUAAAAGUUUUUACUGACAUUUAUGGUUCCCAGAGGAUGCAUCCUACUGACUUUGGUGAUCCCGACUUUAACCCUGCACCAGAACCAGGGUGUCAUUUUGUGACAUAUCUUGACAACUAUUGGAUGUGUUAUUUGCUUCUUUGGUUUAUGACCAAAUAGCUGAAAAACUAAUUCCCAGCAUCCUCAGCUGUACUUUCUGUUUAGUGCUGAUUAACAAAUGUUAGAAACAAACACAACUAACAUGGUGAAAAUGAUAAACAUUAUACCUGCUAAACAAAACUAGAACCCACUUGUAAAACCAUGUCUCCAUAAUGCUAGUGAUAAAAAAAACUCUGCA